rnacentral:rRNA from 1 species
GACGAACGCUGGCGGCGUGCUUAACACAUGCAAGUCGAGCGGUAAGGCCCUUUCGGGGGUACGACGAGCGGCGAACGGGUGAGUAACACGUGGGUGGACCUCGCCCUCCAGCUCUGGGAGUAAGCCUGGGAAACCGGGGUACUAAUACCGGAUAUGACUCCAUGACGCAUGUUGUGGGGUGGAAAGCCUUGUGCGGCUGAGGAUGGGCCCGGCGGCCUAUCAGCUUGUUGGUGGGGUGGAUGGCCUACCAAGGCGACGA